GAGUGCUCGCCCGCCGGCUGUGGGUUCGGCUGCGCGGCGGGGCUGAGGCGGCCGCGGUGGCCCUAGCGCAGGGAGCAGACACUGGGGUCCUGAACCUCGUUGCUGAAGACAGCCAGGACUUGAGCAAGCGCAGGGUAAAGCAGUGCUGCUUCUUGGAAAAACUGAAAAAGCUCUCUGGACGACGGGGGCCCAGAGCUGAUGGCAG